rnacentral:rRNA from 1 species
UACGGAAGGGGCAAGCGUUGUUCGGAAUCAUUGGGCGUAAAGGGCGCGUAGGUGGUCCUGUAUGUCUACUGUGAAAGCGUACGGCUCAACCGUAUUUUGUCGGUAGAAACUGCAGGGCUUGAGGCUGGGAGGGGCUGGUGGAAUUCCCUGUGUAGCGGUGAAAUGCGUAGAUAUCUGGAGGAACACCGGUGGCGAAGGCGGCAUCCUGGACCGGCAUUGACGCUGAGGCGCGAAAGCCAGGGGAGCAAACGGG